rnacentral:lncRNA from 1 species
AAACCUGAAAGCCUGAAAGCAGCAGCUCCACGUCCACCUUCUAAUGGCAUUUGUCAACCCCUGUUGCUCCUCAAUGGCUCUUUCCCCUUCUCCGUAAGCCCCCACCCCCUCUCUCUCUCUCUGGGUUUAAAAUUUGUGUUAUCCUUUUGUUGAUUUGAAUAAUCACAGUAAUCUGAAAUGUUAAUCCUGAAAUUGUGAGAGAUAAAUCGAGGUUUUUCAUGUUUUGGAAUUGAGGCAUUGUGUGUGUAAUAUGUGUUUAAUGUUAAAUCUUCAAAUGGAGGAGGUAAAUUGAUAUUACGCUAAACCAGGUAGUGGAUGGAAAUUGAGAAUCCACACUCGCCUCCCUUAGCCUUUUCAUAUCGUUGGUUUUAAAUUGGGGAAAAAUAGUUUGAUUUACUGGAAUUAAAGAGAAGGAUAAUGAAAUGAAGAGAAAGUAUGGGUUUGAUUUAUUGGGUUUGAUUUUUACUGAGAGAUCUGAGCAUGCGGGAGAGAAAGAGAGAGUCAAAUGGAAGAAGAGAAAGCAGAGAAACGGGAGAGAGAGAGAGGGUAAGUUAGUCAUUUAAUCCAGUUUCGUUCUGUUCCAUCUUGCCAGUACCAAACAUGAUAUGAAUCUUUGUUCCGUUCCGUCCCGUCCCGUCCCGUCUCCGUAUCAAAUGUUACCUUAUACAUCAAUUGAAAAUACUUGUAAUUUUUUUUCUUUUCUAUUUGUUUUCUAAAAGAAAUUUUUGCUAACUCUCUAUCUUCGCAUUUUAAACUGUAAGAUGUCAUUGAGCAUCUAACUACGAUACAACACUUGGAACAAAAACAGAUUAAUCAAAGAAAAGUACAAAAGUGUGAUGUGCGCAUUGAAAAUAUCAGGUUGUCCUUCCGGUCUCAUCACACCAAUUCUACAUAAUUCAACUAAUUGUUUUGUACGGCUUACAAAAAAAAAUGCAACGUUUGUAUUUUAUUUGCUUUAUAUGCAGGAAAGAAGAGUUAUCUAUCACAUUGUGGGCAGAGGUUGCAGAAAGUUUUUCUUCUUUAUCACUUCAAGCUUUGUCUUUACCCAUUGUCAUUGUGUUUACAAGUCUAAAAGUCAAACUUUAGCUACGUAAGUAAUAAACUUUAAACCCUUUUAAAUAUCUUUGUUACAAUGUGUAUAUAGUUUUUAAACAGACCUUAUCCAACUAAUGAUACUUACUCAUCUGUUAUAUUUACUUAUACCUAUUUUAUAAAUUUUUAUUAUUUUUGCCAUUUCACAAAGAACAUUGUGUUGAACAUGUCUACUCGCUUUUUUUCAUUGAUCUAGAUAUACCAGAACUUAAUUCAUACAGAUCAGUGUUGUUGAUGCACAAAAUUAGAGGGAUCUUGGAACAAC